UACGUGAGGUGGCAAGCGUUGUUCGGAAUUACUGGGCGUAAAGCGCGCGUAGGCGGCUCUUCAAGUCAGGCGUGAAAGCCCCGAGCUUAACUCGGGAACUGCGCUUGAUACUGUCGAGCUAGAGUGUGGAAGGGGCGAUUGGAAUUCCGUGUGUAGCGGUGAAAUGCGUAGAUAUACGGAGGAACACCAGAGGCGAAGGCGGAUCGCUGGGCCAACACUGACGCUGAUGUGCGAAAGCUAGGGGAGCAAACGGG
rnacentral:rRNA from 1 species